UGUAAAUCGAAUCGCUGAAGCUGC
rnacentral:siRNA from 1 species